rnacentral:lncRNA from 1 species
CGACAGCGGCGGCUGCCAGAUCCUCUACGACAGGAGGAGCCAGGCGCAGGCCUGGCGCCGGGUGGGCUGCGGAGCCGCGCCGGGGCCCCCCGAGCGGCCGCCCGCCGGGGACGAGCCCCCGGAAAGGGAGAGCCGGUCCCGUCCCGGCGCUGCUCCGUGCCCCGGCGCUGCUCCGUGCCCCAGCGCUGCUCCGUGCUCCGGUGCGGCUCCAUGCUCCGGCGCAGCCCUGCAUCCACCCGCCGGCAGGCCGGCCCCGGGCGGCGAUGACGGCAGCUCCGGCCGCGCCGCCGAGCUCUCCCCGGCCGUGGCCAAGGCUAAAGAGUUCGUGGCCGACAUCUUCCGCCGCGCCAAGGAGGCCAAAGGCUCGGCCCUGGCGGAGGAGGAGGAAGAGGAGGAGGAUGAGGAGGAGGAGAGUGGCGGGAGCGGGUUCGGCUGCCGCCCCGAGGCCGGGCCCGGCGGCUCCCCGUCACCGGCGCUCCCCUCCGGAGCGUCGUGGGAGGCCCGGCGCCGGCGCCUGCCAGCGUCGCCCCAGGGCGACGGGACCCCCGAGGGCGAGCUGUCGCCCAAAGCGUCGCCGCCGUGCGGCGCCGAGCCGGGUUACGUCAACUACACCAAGCUGCGCUACGUGCUGGAGCCCGCCGAGCCCGCCGAGCCCGAGGACGAGUACGAGGACGACAAAAUCUCGCUGCCCUUCGUCGUCACCGACCUCCGAGGCCGCAACCUGAAGCCGUUGAAGGAGAAGGCGAUCGCCCAGGGCCAGUACCUGACGGUGGAGCAGCUGACGCUGGAUUUCGAGUACGUCAUCAACGAGGUGAUCCGCAACGACGCCGCCUGGUCCCGGCAGUUCUGCUCCUUCAGCGACUACGACAUCGUCAUCCUCGAGGUGGGCGCCGGGGCGGGGUGGG